rnacentral:rRNA from 1 species
GUACAAGCAGUGGGAGCACAGGUUUACCUGUGUGACUGCGUACCUUUUGUAUAAUGGGUCAGCGACUUAUAUUCUGUAGCAAGGUUAACCGUAUAGGGGAGCCGGAGGGAAACCGAGUCUUAAUUGGGCGUUAAGUUGCAGGGUAUAGACCCGAAACCCGGUGAUCUAGCCAUGGGCAGGUUGAAGGUUGGGUAACACUAACUGGAGGACCGAACCGACUAAUGUUGAAAAAUUAGCGGAUGACCUGUGGCUGGGGGUGAAAGGCCAAUCAAACCGGGAGAUAGCUGGUUCUCCCCGAAAGCUAUUUAGGUAGCGCCUCGUGAAUUCAUCUCCGGGGGUAGAGCACUGUUUCGGCUAGGGGGCCAUCCCGGCUUACCAACCCGAUGCAAACUGCGAAUACCGGAGAAUGUUAUCACGGGAGACACACGGCGGGUGCUAACGUCCGUCGUGAAGAGGGAAACAACCCAGACCGCCAGCUAAGGUCCCAAAGUCAUGGUUAAGUGGGAAACGAUGUGGGAAGGCCCAGACAGCCAGGAUGUUGGCUUAGAAGCAGCCAUCAUUUAAAGAAAGCGUAAUAGCUCACUGGUCGAGUCGGCCUGCGCGGAAGAUGUAACGGGGCUAAACCAU